rnacentral:lncRNA from 1 species
GUGACCACAAACCACAAAUAGGUUCUCACUGUUUCCUGGCAGCCGUCUGUCCUCUCCCACUUUCCAAGACCAUUUCACUUCCUCCUUUCUCUGCAAGUCUCCAACACCUGUUCCCCAGUUCCCAUUCUCAGAUGAGACCUUGCUUCCUAAGUCAUCACAAAACCCAAGGCCCUCAAAAGAGAAGCUGCACCAGGCCCCACCACAGAGGCACACAUGCCUGCACCUGGACCGCUGCUCAGCCUUCCCUGGGGUCCCUCCAGUAUUCUCAGCAAGCUUUGUCCCCGCCUUCUGCAAAAGCUGUCUUGCUGGUCAGCAGUGACAUCCAUGCUGCUAAAGCCAGUGGAAAUGCUGGGCCUCAUCUUCCUAGAAGCUGCACUUGACCAUGGCCUCCCCAGGCUCUCGUGCCCGCGUUCAGCCCUCACCACCUACCUCUGUGUCCUGAUCAGCUCCCAGGCCAGUACCUCAUCAUCGUGAGUCUGUUCUACAUGAGAGUCCCGCACCGUCUGAAUGCGCUGUGUCUGGCCUGGAUGCUGCACCCUGAUUCCUCAGGGUAACAGUCAUUCACCUUUGGCUGCUCAGCCUCCAAGCCACACGCCAUGGUCAGCCUCGGCCACUAUCACAGCUGGUCCUGGAGGCUGCAGGGCUCCCUCUCUUGGACCCAGUACUCCCACUACUCCCUCCCCAACUGAUAUGGUUUGGCUGUGUCUCCAUCCAAGUCUCAUCUUAAAUUGUAGUUCCCAAAAAUUGCACGUGUUGUGGGAGGGAGUUGUGGGAGAUAAUUUAAUCCUGGGGGGCGGUUUUCCCCAUACUGUUCUCGUGUUAGUGAAUAAGUCUCACCAGAUGUGGUGAUUUCAUAAGUGGUCUCCCCUUUUGCUUGGUUUUCAUUCUCUCUCGUCUGCGCCAUGUAAGAUGUGCCUUUGGCUUUCCACCAUGAUUUUGAGGCCUCCCCAGCCACGUGGAGCUGUGAGUUAAUUAAAUCUCUUUUUUUUAAAUAAAUUACCCAGUAUCAUGUAUGUCUUUAUUAGCGUGAGAACAGACUAAUACACCAACUACACGCACACACUACUGUGGCCUCCUGGACUUCUGAGUCCCA